rnacentral:rRNA from 1 species
GAUAAACGCUGGCGGCGUGCCUAAUACAUGCAAGUCGAGCGAACGGACGAGAAGCUUGCUUCUCUGAUGUUAGCGGCGGACGGGUGAGUAACACGUGGAUAACCUACCUAUAAGACUGGGAUAACUUCGGGAAACCGGAGCUAAUACCGGAUAAUAUUUUGAACCGCAUGGUUCAAAAGUGAAAGACGGUCUUGCUGUCACUUAUAGAUGGAUCCGCGCUGCAUUAGCUAGUUGGUAAGGUAACGGCUUACCAAGGCAACGAUGCAUAGCCGACCUGAGAGGGUGAUCGGCCACACUGGAACUGAGACACGGUCCAGACUCCUACGGGAGGCAGCAGUAGGGAAUCUUCCGCAAUGGGCGAAAGCCUGACGGAGCAACGCCGCGUGAGUGAUGAAGGUCUUCGGAUCGUAAAACUCUGUUAUUAGGGAAGAACAUAUGUGUAAGUAACUGUGCACAUCUUGACGGUACCUAAUCAGAAAGCCACGGCUAACUACGUGCCAGCAGCCGCGGUAAUACGUNAGUGGCAAGCGUUAUCCGAAUUUAUUGGGCGUAAAGCGCGCGUAGCGGUUUUUUAGUCUGAUGUGAAAGCCCACGGCUCAACCGUGGAGGGUCAUUGGAAACUGGAAAACUUGAGUGCAGAAGAGGAAAGUGGAAUUCCAUGUGUAGCGGUGAAAUGCGCAGAGAUAUGGAGGAACACCAGUGGCGAAGGCGACUUUCUGGUCUGUAACUGACGCUGAUGUGCGAAAGCGUGGGGAUCAAACAGGAUUAGAUACCCUGGUAGUCCACGCCGUAAACGAUGAGUGCUAAGUGUUAGGGGGUUUCCGCCCCUUAGUGCUGCAGCUAACGCAUUAAGCACUCCGCCUGGGGAGUACGACCGCAAGGUUGAAACUCAAAGGAAUUGACGGGGACCCGCACAAGCGGUGGAGCAUGUGGUUUAAUUCGAAGCAACGCGAAGAACCUUACCAAAUCUUGACAUCCUUUGACAACUCUAGAGAUAGAGCCUUCCCCUUCGGGGGACAAAGUGACAGGUGGUGCAUGGUUGUCGUCAGCUCGUGUCGUGAGAUGUUGGGUUAAGUCCCGCAACGAGCGCAACCCUUAAGCUUAGUUGCCAUCAUUAAGUUGGGCACUCUAAGUUGACUGCCGGUGACAAACCGGAGGAAGGUGGGGAUGACGUCAAAUCGUCAUGCCCCUUAUGAUUUGGGCUACACACGUGCUACAAUGGACAAUACAAAGGGCAGCGAAACCGCGAGGUCAAGCAAAUCCCAUAAAGUUGUUCUCAGUUCGGAUUGUAGUCUGCAACUCGACUACAUGAAGCUGGAAUCGCUAGUAAUCGUAGAUCAGCAUGCUACGGUGAAUACGUUCCUGGGUCU